GCUUGUCUCAAAGAUUAAGCCAUGCAUGUCUAAGCAUGAACUAUAUUAAAGUGAAGCCGCGAAUAGCUCAUUACAGCAGCCGUUGUUUCUUGGAUCUCCUCUUUUACUUGGAUAACUGUGGUAAUUCUAGAGCUAAUACACGCAACUAAGCUCCGACCUUACGGGACGGGCGCAUUUAUUAGAACAAAGCCAAUCGGGCGCAAGCCCGUCGUUUGGUGAAUCUGAAUAACUCAGCUGAUCGCAUUGGUCCUAGUACCGGCGACGCAUCUUUCAAGUGUCUGCCUUAUCAACUUUCGAUGGUAGUUUAUAAGCCUACCAUGGUUGUAACGGGUAACGGAGAAUUAGGGUUCGACUCCGGAGAGGGAGCCUGAGAAACGGCUACCACUUCUAAGGAAGGCAGCAGGCGCGCAAAUUACCCACUCUCAGCACGAGGAGGUAGUGACGAAAAAUAACGAGACGGCUCUCUUUGAGGGCCGUCAUCGGAAUGAGUACAAUCUAAACCCUUAACGAGG
rnacentral:rRNA from 1 species